rnacentral:rRNA from 1 species
CAAUAGCGUAUAUUAAAGUUGUUGCAGUUAAAAAGCUCGUAGUUGGAUUUCGGGGCCUGGACGGCUGUCACCCACUGGGUAGGCGUGCCGUCCGGGUCCUUUACUUCCGGGGACGGCGUCACGAUUAAUUUUGGGGCGUUCGGACGCGGAUCGUUUACUUUGAAAAAUUAGAGUGUUCAAAGCAGGCCUUCGCUUGAAUACAUUAGCAUGGAAUAAUGGAAUAGGACUCUGGGCCUAUUUUGUUGGUUUCUGGGACUAGAGUAAUGAUUAAUAGGGACAGUUGGGGGCGUUCAUAUUCCGAUGUCAGAGGUGAAAUUCUUGGAUUUUCGGAAGAUGAACUUCUGCGAAAGCAUUCGCCAAGGAUGUUUUCAUUAAUCAAGAACGAAAGUUAGGGGAUCGAAGACGAUCAGAUACCGU